rnacentral:miRNA from 1 species
UAUGGAUCGUCACAGCAGCAUUC